rnacentral:rRNA from 1 species
AUGACAGUAUUGCCAAUGCUGGAAUACAUUUUAAAAAAGAUCAUGCAAAAGCUAGUGAGUAAACAUAGAGAGGCCAUAGAGAAGUGGACAGGGCAGAGAAUAUGCCCAAAGAUCAAGAAGAAACUAGACAAGAACACUGAGUUUGCUGCUAAUUGCCAUGUCUUAGAAGCUAGCCAACAAUUGUUCAGAGUUCAGUCUGGUAACUCUAGUUAUACAGUUGACUUGUGCUUGCACACUUGUGACUGCAGGAGAUGGCAACUGUCUGGAGUACCAUGUGGCCAUAGUAUAGCAUGCUGCAGGGAGGAGAGAAUUGACCCUGAGACAAUGGUUCAUGACGGCUACACUAUGGAGAAUUAUUUGGAAGCAUAUGGAUAUACUCUUGUUCCACUUAGAGAUCUAAAGCAUUGA